UAAACAUUUGUACAUUUAUUUCCACUGAGGGCCAAAAACACAAAACAGGCAAUUCUACAGUAACAGAAUUACAACAGCGCCAAAAUCUACCCGUGUUUUAGCUUAGCGUUAAAAUUUGCCCCAACUGUAAUUCUGUUACUGUAGAACUAAUCAAACAGGAUUAAAACCUGUGUCAUACUUCUAAUGUGCAUUUUUUUUGUGGUUUGUUUUGACAUUAUCCACAGGCGUCACACAACACAUUGCCUCAAUGCACAGAACAUCGAAGAAGAAGCCAAAACAGUCUCCACCAGGUGUCGCCAUUUUUAGCUGGCUGGCAUGAACAGAGGAGAGCGAGUCGAAAUUAGCGGACAGAGGCAUCAAAGGGAUAACGUGAAUCCUUUGUACUCUUUGCUGGCACAAAGUGCUAAAGGUUGGUGGAACAGCAGCUAACUGCAAGGUAAUCUGAUCUACUUGUAGCAUAAGGAUCAACUGUAACAACAGCAAAUUGUCAUUUUUCUGAAAUCCUGAAACAUGACAAAGAUUAUAUGUCCACAAUCUUCAGUAAAUAUCUGACUGCAAAGGUUAGUCACACCUUUUAAAGUUUUUUUUCUCGCUUUCUGUAAACGUUCCAAAAACAAAAAAGUCAUAAGGUGAAGAAACCGGUUUUCAAGAAAUGAACAUGUGAACUGCAUCAUGUGUAGCCUGUGAGCAUUUACAGUAUUUCAUGCAAAUAUUACCCAAAAUUAACAAUGUAUCCAUGAGGCACAAUACCUCACCUGAACUGCAGGCAGAGUACAAUGAACACACAAUGUCAGAACAACUGCAAUUCAUCUCAGACUUAACAACAUGGCAUCAAAGUUCUUCAGGCACCAACUUGCAACGAUUCAGCCCUGGUCUGUCACCCCCCGUGGAUAAACUUACAAAUGCUACACAAGUAAGUAUGCAAAGAUGCAUUAUGCUAACAUCACUCAUUUAAAGUAUUAGGUGAGUUUGAAAUGUAGCUAUUGACAAAAUCAAUCAUAAACUGAUCUUGGAUAUUGACAUUGCCCUCGCGAGCUGUUGGCAUGUUGCCUGCAUACACUGUAGUUUUUAAAAGCUUAGUAAUCUCCACACCAGCUUUGCUAAACGUGAUAACUUCAACAUUGUAAAUUAAUUCUUGUUGUUGGUGCCUCUGAAGUUUCUUCAAGUGCAAUGGAAAAUGUUAAAAUUAAUGGCAACGUGACUGCAUUCGUGCAGAUGUGAGCAAUGAACAAAGUUGGACAAAAAAAAAAUGUGUUUUUGACACUCAUACAGCAUUCAACUACAUAAUGUUUGUGGGGAAGUUACACCAUUUUCUCAAAGGUAGUGCAGUGGAAUCACUUCAGGAUCAGGACUGUCAGAAUUAAUCAUAUGUAUAAAAGGCAUGGAAGUUGCAAAUUUAUUAGCAGAUUAUUAGCGUUAGCCACAACGUGACAUUAUGUCGGUUAAUAUUACGUAGUGUAUUAGUCAUCUCUAGUCACAGUUAAAAAUCAAUCUGCCAAUAAAGUUUUACAUUUGCUGUUCUUGCUCUGCACGCUCCUAAGAUGUGGCGUAUAUUCGUCGUUCUCAGACAACACAUUCGCCAAGGGUGGGUGAGAUACCUCAGUCCACAUACGGCGAGAAGCCAGAACUUCAAACUUUGGCGGACACAGCUUCAUGUGACAGAUUUAAUGCUCAUUAGGACCAUAGGCUCUUUCCAAAUGAACUGUGCACAGUGAGGGGGCGGGGCUGAACAACAGGUAUGCCUAGGGGUGAUCAAAAACAAACAGAAGUUCACAAUCAGACAGCCGCCCACACCAAAAGUUAAAAAAAAAAAAACCUCAAUACUUUUUUUCAAAUCCUACAUCCAGCACAAUAGCAACAUUAACCAGAUCAAUAUAUAUUUUUAUAGCAUUUUAAGGUACCUCAUAUAUUUUCCUCAAUAUUUACAACUGUACAAGCAAAGCACACACUUCAAAGUGCACAGAUUCAAUACAGUAUUGACUAGUUUUGCAUUUACAAAGUUCAUUUUCCCCUAAACAAUCUGAAACUAUUAAACAAAAGAUCAAAA